rnacentral:rRNA from 1 species
UACGUAGGGGGCAAGCGUUGUCCGGAAUUAUUGGGCGUAAAGAGCGUGUAGGCGGUCCGGUAAGUCAGCUGUGAAAGUCAAGGGCUCAACCCUUGAAUGCCGGUUGAUACUGUCGGGCUAGAGUCCGGAAGAGGCGAGUGGAAUUCCCGGUGUAGCGGUGAAAUGCGUAGAUAUCAGGUGGAACACCAGUGGCGAAGGCGGCUUUCUGGACGGUAACUGACGCUGAGACGCGAAAGCGUGGGGAGCAAACAGG